CAGAGGCUAACUGACCAGUGUGGCUCUGAGAUGGCACUCAGAGCCCAGACAAGCAGGUCUUCUCUUCUCAAAACAAUUCUCAAAGUAGCAGAUCUGACACAUUCCUCCUCAUGAUGAAUUUCCACAGUGAGGAAAGUGGAAAACCCUUAAGAUAGUUUCAUAGUUCUCUUUCUUUCCUAUGACAGCAGAGCUAUAUCCAGAGAGUAAAUGCUGAGACCAGUCAAUCUCUUCUGAAGUUAGAGAUCAACUGCUCCCAGAAUUCUGCCUGCUCUACUCCUUCAAAGUUCCAAGCUCAUGCACAGAGUUCCUUCUUGCCUCAUCUACUCUUCAGUCUCUGGAAUAAUCCUACAACAUUCCUUAUCUUAUCAAACCUAAUCAAUAUAUUACUAAUUUACUAAUGUCCUUACUAUACCUUGAAGAGUCAUAAGGAUUCUGAGAUGAGAAGAUAAGAAAGGAAAACAUUUCAGAGAUGGCAGAUAACCUAUUCAAAAUUAUAGCAGUGAGUGCCAGAAUUUAUUGUAUGGGGAAUUGUAAGUAGAUCAGGUUGGAAGGAACAUAGGGUAGAUAAGAAAGGGACAUAUGAAAUUACCUUGGAAAAAUAGGCUACUGCCAACUACAAAGGGCUUUAAAUAUCUUACAGAUAAGGGGAAAGUUAGGUGUUGGUGAAUUGAGAGCCAACCUAGAGAUGGGCUUAAAUCUGGCCUCUUCUGCCUUGGAACCAAUACUGAGUAUGAUUCUAAGAUGGAAAGUAAGAGUUUUUUAAAAAUAGGGUAGUUAGGUGGAUGGGUAAGUUUGGAGGACAAAGUAAUGAGUUUCAUUUUUGAUGUUGACUUUAAGACACCCAUUAAGAUAUGCAAGUGGCACUUAGUUAAGGAAUUUAGGGGACAACAGGUUUGGGCAUCAUCUGGAAAACCAUGAUAACUAAUAUUUGUUAAGAUCAUCGAGAGAGGAAAGCCUAGAGCAGAGUCCUAGGAUACAUCCAUGAAUAUAGAGGAAGGGUGAAAGGGAAACAGAAUAAGCAUUUAUUAAAUGCCUACUAUGUGCCAGGCACUAUGAAAAGUCCUAUAUAAUUUCAUUAUUUCUUAUAAUAACCCUGUGAGGUUGGGGUAUUAUCACCCCCAUUUUACAGUUGGAGAAAUUGGGAGAAAAACAAUGGGUAAGUGACUUGCCCAGCCUCACAUAGUAAGUGUCUGAGGCAGGAUUGUAACUUGGGUUUUCCUCACUGUAGGUCCAGUGUUCUAGGUUCCUUAGCUGCUAGUGGCAUAUGAUGAUCAAGUCUAAAAGACGAAGAAAGUCAGAAGAUAUAGAGCAAAAUGUCAUGCAAACCAAGGAAGGAUCAGAGUACUCAAAAGGGUAAAAAAUGUUGAACACUGCAAUCAUAUCAGUAAAGAUGGGGACUAUGAAAAGCCUUUGGUAUGAACAAUUAAGAGACCUUUGGUAAUUUCAUAGGGAACAAUUUUAGUUGAGUGGUAAGAGUUGGAAGCCAUAUUGCAGGGGAUGGAGAAGUGUACAAGAUUAAAUGAGGUAGGGGUAGCUAAGUGGCUCAGUGGAUUGAGAGUCAGGCCUAGAGACUGGAGGCCCUGGGUGCAAAUAUGACCUCAGACACUUCCUAGCUGUGUGAUCCAGGGCAAGUCAUUUAACUCUCAAGGCCUAGCUCUUAUCACUCUUCUGUCUUGGAACCAACCCACAAUACUGAUUCUCAGACAGAAGGUAAGGGUUUAAAAAAAAUUUGACCUAAGGGCCCUUUCAGUUCCAAAUCUAUGAUCCUGUGAUAUUUCUUUUAAAUAAUUACUGUUUAAUGUCCUUCCAUCUUCUCAAAAUCUUCAUUUCCUAAACUAUUAUGCUAUCCUAAAGAAGUUAAGUCUCAGUUCCUAUUAAGGCUACGGGCUUUCCUCUGUAAAUGAGAUGAAGUUGCUGUCAUCUUUUCCCCUUCAAGCUAAGACUCUUAGGAGGGUAGAUGGGAUAUCAGGGUGAGUACCCAAUUCAUCUGCUCUGUAAGCAUUUGCUCUUUCAGUGACUUCUGGAUAAGGCAAGUGAUUCCAUUUCAGUGGGCAAUAUCAGGUAUGAAUUAAGAAAAUAAACGCUUUAUUUUCCGUCAGACAGUAACUCAUGUUUACGAUCAUUUUCUGCAGGUUUCUAAUUCUAGGAACACUAAAUCAAUCCUUCAUCCAACUUCACUUCCCCACCACUAGCCGCAAACACCCCAGGAAAGAAUAUUUUAACACUUUUGAUUCCACCAACCUCCCUUACCACACUUCAGGAAAUAAAAUUUAAUUUGGGGAGUUGACCUAAAAAUGCCGGAUUUAAUGUAAUCACCUAGAUGCCUUUCGAAGCCUUGAAUGCAGCUGCCACUCACAACUCCAGAAAGCUGCAGGGGUAUGGUUCUAACACGGAACUAACCUUCCCAGCUCUGCUCUUGUUCCCCAGACCACAGCCUGGGCGCAGGAGCCCGGCAGAGUGGGGCCUUCGGGGGAAACCUUUAGGAGUGACGCGCGCCUGCGCAGUUCUCUGCGGCCGGAUUCUUUCCGUGUUUGUAAACAUGCUUCGCCUGGGUUUGCUUCUCCCCUUCCUUCUUAGUCAUGGGUCUGGAUGUUGUAGGCAAUGACGUUUUUUCCCUUCGUCUCUUAUAGAGAAGAGGCCGCCUUGCUUGGCAGGUUGGUGGCGUAUGCAGUGCAGAGGAGAUGAUUUUGGGCAGCGACAUGUGAGCACAGCGCUGGUGCUUGAGCCAGCUGACCUGAAUAGAGAAGGGACUGCAAACGCUGACGGGCUCCUCAAGGAACGGCCCUGCGGAGCGGCCAAGACCAUUUUGGAUGCCCUCUCGGAUAUCCUCAUGUUUCUGGCCAGUCUUUCACACUCUCACAGAUGCGGUUAGAGAAGCUGAAUCGGGACACUUAAGUCCCUUCUGUGGAUCACGCAAUUUCUCACGCUCCCGGACCUCUAAGAGCCCCAGCAACCUGAAGUUGGGGAAGGGGGGGAAAAGGGGUUCAAACUCAAAUUCACUGCGGGUUGGCAUAAUUAAGCCUGCAGGCCUCGCCCCUCCGAGAGGCUGCGCGUUGCUGGGUGGGUCUUAUUGAAUUCUUGACUGCCCCGCCGUAGCACGCCAUUGGCUGCAGACCCAAUAUUUGGGGACGCACCCGUUCUGCUUCUCCCCACAUCAUUGACGUAAUGUUCCAAUGUUGUCUCCGCCUUUCUCCGCCCCUCUGAUGACAAAACCAUCUGGCCGUAAUUUAUUGGGACCUCUUGCUCUCUGUUGGGAGCUGAACUGGCCACGCCCUUCCCCAGGUAGCUCCACCCUCCCCGUCAGAUGACACCGCCCCUCCCUCCAGCUGAUUCCGCCUUUUCUCUCCAAAUGGCCCCGCCCCUUCCCCGGCUGGCUCCGCGUCCUCCGGGACCGCUUCCCUAAUCCCGCACCUUCCGGCUCCGGGGCCACGUCCAGCUGCCUGUCUUUCUCCUUUCUCCUCCUGAGCCUCCGUUUGCGCAGCCGCUGCCUUGGGCCGGUAGAGGGGGAGGAGUUUUCCGGGGCCCCCUUGUCCCUAGCUACCUUGCAUUCGCUCCGGGUCUCCGGCAUCCGCGGAAGAGGAAUCGGCUAGUCCCCCUCUUCUCUCCUCUCCCAGCCGGCAGAGGAGGCGGCUCCAGACCCGGUGCUGCGGGCCGAGGCGCCGGCGCUCACUCGCACUGCCCUCUUCUGUGCCGGAGGAGGUCUUGGAGACUCAGAAUUUGUAUUCAGCCGUCAGUUGGCCCACGGUGGAUCAUCUUUCUCCUGGAUCUUUGUAGCAUCUUCCUCAUUGCUCUUUUUGCCUUUAUCCUCUCCCUACAGGUCCUGAUUGUGCUACCAAGCUUGACCUUGAUGCUUAUAUAUUUUACCAGGUCAAUGACAUCUCACACAUGAGCUGAAGCAACCAAAUGGUCCAGUGAAUAGAAAUUGGGCCUAGAGCCAGGAACUGAGUUGAAAUUUGAUCUCAAAAGUUUGUCACAACCUCUGACUACUUCAGUUUCCUCAUCUAUAAAAUGAGGAUGAUAAUUACAUCUUCCAAUGUUAUUCUAAGAGUAAAAACAAUAAUUAUAAAGUGCUUUGCAAAUCUUAAAGCACUAUUUUAUUUGGUUAAAAAAAAGCUUUUAAGUCAAACUGUCAUUGUAGCAUUUGAACCUUUUAAAACAAUAAAAUGUUAAGUAUUUGUUUUUUCUUAGCUAACAAUAUUUGUGUUAGGAUACAGAACCAAAUUGGAUAUUAAUAUAAUGUGCUAAAGAUGAAAAAUGUUGAUCUGAUUUUUUAAUUCAGUUAAUGAAUACAAAUAUGAAAAUUCAAAGGUUAUGUUCUAAUGACAUUUUAAUGUCUAAAUGGUAUAAUUCAAACCACAGAAUGGUGUAAUAGAUUCAGGAAGGCCUGCCUGUGGCAUAUGCUAGAUGUAUGUGAUCACAGACAAAUUACUUAGCUUCCCAAUGUCCCAGUCUUCUCCGGGACUGUUAAGUAUAAGUUGAUAUGUAUCAAUGAAGAGGAAUUUUCCCUACACAGAUAAAACUAUAGAUCUGAACACUGCACCCCCCACCCAUUCAAACUGUCUAUGUGUGUAGGCUUAUCUAUAGUCCAACAAUACAGAUAUUACCCAAUUGCUUUGGUGCAUUUAUGUUUAUUUUAAUUGUAGAAUUGGUGUCAGCAUUGUACAAUGGAAAGAACAUUGAUAAACACAGGAAUUAUGUUCAAGCCUUCAAAAUUUGGGGAAAUCACUUAACCUCUGGAAGCUUCAGUUUUUUCACUUAUAAAAUGAGGGUAUUGGAUUAAAUGGCCCCUGAAGUGCAACUCUAGAGCUAGGAUCUUAUACAAAUCACUGAUUGAGUUUUACUUCCAGCCUAAUAUUGAGAUAAGCCAUGUGUGAUUUAUUGUUACUAUGAUAGGUUUCUCCCCCAGACAUUCAACACAUAUAAAUACACGUUUCCAUUAAACUGGCUUACGAUAGUAUAACAAUUUUUGUACCAGUAAAAGCAAGUACAAGUACAUUUAGCUAGUAAAAAAAUUUUGAUACAAAGAAGUUUCUCAUUUGAAAAUAAAAGAAACUUUGUCAGAAUUGUUUCUACAUAUUCAAUAUGUAGAUUAUUGUACUAUCCUCAUGGCAUCCUCUAACUGUUCUCCUUCCCCCCACUCUUUAUCUCAUUGCCCUUGAGUGAACAUCUUAGCUAUUUGAGUCACACUCUUGUUAAUUCUUUUGUUAUUUUCAGUUUCAUCUGUCACUGUUGCAGACAAGUUGAGCAGCACAAAAUACUGUGCCAUGUUGUUUUUUUUUUGGGUAACAGAUAAUUGCUGGGGAAGACUUGUGAAAGUCAGUAGAGGCACAUGGCUGCUGAGACAAAACUAAUGAAUCACCCUUUGUUAACAGUUUCAUCCAUGGAAACUGAAAAUACCUUCCUUUUCUCAUCAGUGAAGCUGGCAAAGCUUCAUCCACUGUUCAAGGAAUGACAGCUGUUUUAAUCAUAAGAGGCUAGAUUUAGAGCAACAGGAAGGAGAAAGUCAUUAGGAAAAGAAAAGAGGAAAAUGGGUAGGGUAGGUAGAAUGAGCAGGCUAUGAAGAGAAAAACCAAAGAAAUUUAAUUUUUGUCAUGAAUUUAUAAUCCAGAGUUCAUGGGUCUACAAUUAAAAGGUAAUGUGCAUAAAGGGCAAAGAUGGUUGGAAAAAAGAGGGAAUGUUAAAGAGAAAAGGGCAGAGGGAUCCAGAGUGAGAAAAAAAGUAGAAGAGAAACAAGUAUGAAAGGUGAAGAUGUCAGUAGUGUACUCCGAUAACCUGAGAGAACUUUAAGAGAUCUCAGUAAUCAUCAAACCACCAAGUCUAACAUUUCUCAGUCUUCUGGCAUGUUUUACCACUGUAAACUACUGUAACAGGGAAGUAGUAGUAAGUAGCUAGAUUUUGAGGGUCACUUGGUCAUUUUUGCAUAUUUAUCACUUGUGGGGUCAGACAUACUCACAUACUGACCCUAGUUCAGGCACCAGAUAGUGAAAUCAAAACCAGAAAUUUUCAUUUAUCCAAGACAAACUGUUGUGGGAGAGUCUAGAGGACAGAUGGGGAGCAGUGGCAACAUACAAGCAUAACCUAAAUGGGAUAAAAGGGGUCUUUGUUAUCUCAGAGGAUCCAACUUCCUCUUCUGUAUAGAGGAAAAAUUAGGCCCCAAAAGAGGAUUACCAUAGUGACAAGACCCUGGAAGUAUGGAUGCCUGGGGAUCAAGAGAGGGAACAGGGUGUCAUGGACCAAUAGAGGACCUUGGGGAUAAUGAUAUCAAGACUUCCUUGGGGAAAAAGCAAGUCACUCCAUUCUCUGGGGUAAAGUCCAGUUCACUUCCUGAGUUAUCUCUGGUGGGUAGGGAACAUAUAAGGAGGCUAUAUUUCAAAAUGCUACCUUUCCCUCAAAGUCAUUUUUGCUAUUGAAUGUGCCAUCCAAAUGUGCUUUCAUUGGACUCAACCUUAUUAUCUAGCCUUCGUUCUGAUAGCUGUUACUCAAAUUUUUUGUCAAGGCACUGUCCAUUCUAAUCCAGGCUUUGGCUCCCUAAAGGAUAGGUUCUCAAUAUAGUAUGAUUGUCAUUCAGGCUACCUACUUGGACUCCCACUACUCACCUGUUAUACGAAAAAACUGCCUACAGAUAUUAUACUAGGUUGAAAGGGGGGAGAGGCACAGACAGGCACCUCAAGAUUUAGCAUACUUGAGGUUACAGAGAAUCUUCUCCCUUAAGAAACCCUUUCUCCCUUCAGCCCCCCCCCCCUCACCCUUACAAAGAUUAUCUGACUGCAUUUAAUUAACUAAAGCUGAUUUAAUAACAAAUUCAAAUCAGGAAGGUAUCAGGUUAGAGGGAAUAGGGAUUUGCCCUAUACUUUAGCAUAGAUUGGGUUUCAAUUCUCUCUCAACUUUUGAGCUGAGCUCUGGCCUCAGAGGGUUGUGAAGUGUUUCUUUUAUUCCUAUUGUAUCCUAUAUCUAUGCUAGCUUUGGCCUCACAGGUUUGUGGAGGGUUUCUUUUAUUCCUAUUCUAUACUAUAUCUAUGCUGUGCUUUUUUAAGUUCAAAGUCUUUAGCAGUAGACAGCAAGAGGAAAAGAGAUUCUAAUCUUCAGAGCUGGUUGGGCCUGUAUCUUUGGGCCAAUGCCUCUAAAGACCAGUUCUACAAUUCAAGCCACUCCCCUUAAAUCCUUUUGUUCAAUGACAGGAUUCACAGGAAUUCAGGUAGAGCAAACAGUUGGGAAAAAUCCAGGCAUAGAGGUAAUUUCUAUCCCAAGAGACAGGGAGAGAGCUUCUUCCAGUCCCCAGGUCCAAGAAACAGUUCCCCUCCAGAGCAACUGUCACUCUCCAAGUCUCCCCUCCUUCCUCCAACUGCUUUUGUUAUCAAUCAAUCCUCUCUCCAAUGUUCCCAACCCUUUCUGUGCAAUUUUCCCCACACUUUAAUUUUUGAUGUUUUAUGGAUAUCACAAUUAUUGCCCAAUAACAGCCCUCCAUUGAAACCUCUUUUAGCUAAGAAAAUUGAUUAAUAAAACCAGUCAACAGUGCAAUGACUGGUAGUAUUUCACUAUUUUCUUUUUUAGAGGAGAUAAGUAUUUAAUAUACUAAUGUGUUGCAGACCGCUAUUUUUUACCCAGAGUGAGAAAUUUUUCUAGACACUCAACUCUGUUUUCUACCUUAAUUUUACCAGCCAAACAUCUUUAUUCUUGGGGUCAUGAGCCCUUGCUGUCAUCAUCUCUUUGGUCUGGUUAGACAUUUGGUCUCAAUCUCCUGACCUGUCCCAUUUUGCUGUUACCCAAUAUAAGUAGUUUAGAGGUAUUUUUCAGUACAUAAAAGUUGAGAAAGUGAUUUAACUAUAAGUUGAGUUGCCUCCGGCAUUUAUUCUUAACUAAAAGAUUUUCAGAUAAUUUAGGAUAAUUUAGAAUAUAGUAAUAUUUUUAGAGAAGUUAGUAAUUUGAAAUUGAUCCUUUGGGAACACAAUUAGUUGAAAAUGUUUUCCUAUAAGCUAAGAAAUAAAAAAAAAACCACAGAUGUAAGUCCAAAAUUGAACUAGAUGUUUUAUAGGGGAAAUCCACUAUCUUAGUCUCUAAUUAAGAUUUAUGAUUCACAGAAUUUUAAAAAAGAUCUAAGGCAUCUUUUCUCUCUGGUGGGAAAAUAAGGCAAUAAUUAAAUUUAGCACAAAAGUAACUGAUUUUUUAUUUUAAAAUUCUUAUGCCUAGUAAUACAAUAGUAAGUUGAAUUUUUCUUUCUUUCUUUUUUUUUUUGUACGUAUGUUCCUUCUAGGGGCAUCUAGAAUAUAUCCUCAGAGUAUUUCAUUUUUUGUAACGUGAUUACACAAUUCAAUAAAUAUUUAUUAACCAUUACUAUGUUCCCUGGUUCAGUGGACACAUUGCUAGGAAUAUGAGAAGAAAAGAUGGAUUCUGCUUUUAGGAAGCUACAUACUUUCAUGGGAAGUAUAUACAGAUAAGUAAAUGCAAAAUAGAAGUGAAAUAAAGUAAUUUGCAGGAAAGGGAGAACAACUAGAGGAAUAAAAAAAAGUCUCAUAGGAGGGGGCAUUUAAGCUGACCCUUGGAAGUUCAGGAUCUAGGGAUUCUAAGAUAAAGAUGAUCAUUCCAGGCUUGGGAUUGUGCAAAGAUAAUGGUGAGAGAGGAAAUGUCCUAUUUGGAAAAUAGCAAGUAGGUCAGUUUGACUGGAACAUAGAUAGCUCACGAGGGUGCAUAUUAUGUAUACUCCUGCCUGGGCUAGGAAUAAUAGAAGAUAUGUUAUAGACUGAUAGAGUCACCAAAUUAUCAUUAAGGAAGACUUAAAAAAACAAACUUUAAAAUUAUAGAAAACCACUUUCUACACAUUCAGAUUCCAGGAUUGUAAAGUUCUAUGUACCCCCCUCCCAAACACACACACACACACACACACACACACACACACACACACACCCCUCUCUAAUGUGUCUAUACCUCUAUACAUGUAUUAUAUAUGUAUACAUGAUGCAUAUAUUUGUAUAUGCAUAUCUAGUGUGAAGAAUAUAUAUGCAAGUGUGCAUAUAUUAUGUAUACAUGUCAUAUAGGAUAUAUGUGUAUAAAUAUAAAUGUGUAUAGUAUACAUAUAUGUACAUAUAUUCAUACAAGAUAGUCAAAUCUAAUAUUGUUAUGAAAGGAAAUUGGUUUGCUAUCUACUGGAAAGUCUAGUUCAUGUUAGAUUGCUGACAAUAGCCAGAAUCAGAAAACCCAUCAGAAGAACAUGACAAAAACUUUUAGGAAUGUAAGUAUGUAACUCAAAAUCUGGUACAUUCUUGGAAUAUAAUAUUUGGUAAUAAAAACAACUCCCUUUUUUGUUUUUUAUUGUUCUUUUUAUUAAAAAAAAACCCUUAACUUCCAUCUUAGAUUCAAUACUGUGUAUGAGUUCUAAGGCAGAAGAGCGGUAAGGGCUGGGUUAUGUGACUUGCCCAGGGUCACACAGCUAGGAAGUGUCUGAGGUCAAAAUUGAACCCAGGACAUCCCAUCUCUAGACCUGUAUCUCAAUCCACUGAGCCACCUAGCUGUCCCCUGGUUUUUCUUGUUCUAAAUGUAAAAAGAUAGCUAUAUUUCAAGUUAAGGCUGAAAUCAUAUAACAGGAACUUAGAUAUUAAAUGAGAAAUCUGGAACAUUCCAUAUUUGGUUUGAAUUUCACACUGAGAUAAUGAAAUUUUGAUACUAGAAAUCAAGAUACUGAAAUCCAAUAUAGUAUAGAAAGAUAUAGAGUCAAUGUCCAAUGCAGAGCUAUAGUUCUUAUUAUAUUGUCAUCAAUAGUGAGAAUCCUGUAGACACAAUCAAUGGAACUAGAUAUAACCAAUAGAAAUAUCAAUAUAAUUAUCCUUUGACAUUUGUGCUUCAUAUUUGUGAUUCUGGUUAUUUGCAGUCUGAUCAUUGAUAAAUGGAAAUCUUUGGAAAUUUGUGGCAUGCUGUGAAGUUGCAGAUGUAUGUAUGUGAAAAAAAUUUUAAGCUAUAAAUGCAUAAAUACUAUAUAUUAUUCAUCUUUCUUAUCAUUCACUACCAUAUUAAAGUUAUAUUUUGUUAAAAGUUUCAGUACAUUGAAGAACUGUGGGCUAUGCACUCUGUGUCGCUCCACCAUCCAGACUCAGUCACAUAAUUUUCUCCUGUAAUGAUCAUUGUAUCUUGUGCUUUUCAUGGGAGAAGGAGAUCCAUGAAGCUUUUGCUACAGCUACAUGUUGUGGCUGUGAAGACUGAAUAGUGGGCAAAAGACCUCUCUCGUGCAGAAACUGCAACUAUUUUAUGGGUGUAAUGUGUUGUUUUAUUUGUUUUUUUUUUGGUUUAUGUAUCAGAAUUAUUUAAAAUAAAGGUUUGGGUUUGAGUCUAGUUAUUAAUGGUUUUCAUAGAUGUCCUGGGUUGAGGGAUGACUAAUAUAAGACAUAGAAAUCUGGUCCAUGUCUUCAGUUUACUAAAAGAUCAAUUAGUUUAUUACCAUUUGGUUUAUGUUGUUCUGAAUGGAAAGCAUGGCGUGAUUCCAAACUAAGGAAAUUAAAACUUAAUCCUGGGAACUGAGUAUAAGGAUGAUAUUAGAAAAUGGGUCUUAUUAUAUUAAUUUAGAGAUAAGAAGUAGAAAAGCUGCCUUGAAAAAGAAUUGGAGUUUGAAGCAGAUCUAAGAUAGUGUCAAUUUCAAAUGUUGACAGUGUGUGUGUGUGGGAGGUUUUAAUGGUUUUUCUGUGGCAGUUACUCUGAGAGAGUAGCAGUGACUUACUCUCUCUCAGAGUGCUGGGAAGAGGUGACAUCUUUUCUCUCUUUUCUCACUGUCUGAGGUAAAAGGAAUGGAGGGGAAAACCUGAAGGAGCUAAGUGAUUUUCCUUUUCCAACUUGGGAAACACUAUCUAUUGCUGAUUCAUAAAUUGCUUUUAUAUCUGAGAAGACCAAAGAAAGACCUGGUUUUUGAUUUGAACUCUGAGUUUGCCAAGGCUCACAGUCCUAACUUGGUUCUUGCUGAGUCUUAACUAGCUAUCCUUUGUUAUUUUUAUAACUUGGAGAUAAAGUUAAGAAUUAUACGGAUAAUAAUGUUAGUUUAUUGUAGAAUUGUGAAAAUUUGGGUUAGUCAGAUCAGGAAGGAUCAGUGUACCCUGUGGAAACAGGAGAAGUGGUUCCUUGUGGAACCAUGGAGUUUUAUUUGGGUGGAGUUAGAAUCCCUUAGAGUUAGAAAUCCUUUUUUAUCCUUAUAUUUUUAAUAAAUAGUUUAUUUUUAUAUAACAGGAGUUUCCUUAGCAUCCUUACACCUGGCCCUGAAGAGAAAGUUCACUCAUGAGCUUCACUUCACUGAUAUAAAGUAAAAAUACUUUGUAAGCACAGCAAGCAGAAUAUCAAAUCAGUUUAUAAAUCAAUAAUCAAUUCUUUGCCCAUUAUUUUUACACGAGAUACCCAAAUUCAGUACAGUUAUACCAUAGCAUUGAUCAAAUACAUAGUAGUUUCAAUUCAUGUUAAAUUGCUGCAAAUUGCUAGAAUCCAGCAAACCUGUUAGUAGGAAUUAAUACAGCUUUUAUGAACUUAAAUGUGUAUUUAGCUACAGAAAAAGGCAUAGUUUACUCCCAAUACAAUAUGAUACUUUGUAUUGUUAUGAAUUCAAAGGAUUGCACUAUUUCAAGCUUAGUUUAUAAAAACUCAUGUAAAAUCCAACAUAUUAAGUCCAACCCAGUUAUCCCAGAUAUUGAUUCAAGAUGUUAUAAAGAGAUUCUGUUCAUGUUUGAAUGAUGCUAAUAUCUGGAAUUCUGUAAAGCUUUCAGCAGAAACACAAGCAGGAAAUAAGAAAUUCCUUGAGAAUAAAACAUGGUCUGAAAGCUAAUAUAUUCCAUUUGGAUUAUGUUGCUGGACAAUUUCAAGCAAUCCAAUGAAUGUUUACUACUAGGAAAAAAAAGUAAUUAAAUCCAAUUCCAUUAUAUGAGGACAGUGAUCCAAUAUCCAGUGAAGAGUGCUAGUUCAAUGUAGAUUACUGCCAACCAAGAGACUCUUAAGAUCUAAGGAAAAAGCCAAUAUCUUUAAAAACUGAAAUUAGUUACUAAAAAUCUGGUACAUUCUUUGAGUAUGACAUAAAAAUAACUAGUUUAUUCCUAUUUGUUUUAUAUUGCUUUAAAUCAGCAGGAGAAACUAGUUCAAGUUACGGUGAUGAAAAUUUACUAUUAGGACUCAAGAUAAUGAAAUCCAAUUUUGAUAUAGUAGGACAUUGAUUCAGUAUCCAGUAGAUAGUUCCAAUAUUUGUUAGAUUGUUGCCAAUAGUUGGAAUACUGACAAUAUUGCAGGAGAAACUAAACAUUCAACAUUUAGUAAUGCACUAGGUAACUUAAAAUAUACUCUAGUUCUUCAAUGUGAUACAUGGUUUAUUUUCCUCCUAUGUCAUUUAUUUUUGUUUUGAAUCAAUAGGAUAACAAUAUAAUGAAAUAAUAUAGAAUAAUAGUUUUCAAAUCUUUUGGUCAUGGGGGAGAAGUUACCACAUCUCUUCUAACAUCACAAUAUCUUGGAAGCAUUGAAAACAUACUAGAACUAGUUAUGAAAACAGCAGCUGGAAAGUCCCUUUAGCUUAGGACAAUCUCUUCUACACCCCUCACCCCAGUAAGUAGAGUCCAAUUUUAUAGAAAGUAUUUCUGAUAAAGGCCUUAUUUCUCAACUAUGUGGGAACUGGGUCAAUUUUAUAAGAAUGCAUAUCAUUCUCCAGUUGAUAAAUGGUCAAAGGACAUGAGCAGGCAGUCUUCAGAUGAAGAAAUCAAGACUAUAGUCACAAGAAAAUGCUCUAAAUCAUUCUUGAUUAGAGAAAUGCAAAUUAAAACAACUCUGAGGUACCACCUCACACCUAUCAAAUUGGCUAAUAUGACAGAAAAGGAAAAUAACAAAUGUUGGAGGGAAUGUGGGAAAAUUGGGACACUAAUGCACUGUUGGUGAAGUCAUGAACUGAUCCAAACAUUCUGUAGAGUGAUUUGGAACUAUGUCCAAAAGGCUUUAAAACUAUUUCAUACUUUUUGAUCCAGUAAUACCACUAGUAGGUCUGUAUCCCCAAGAAAUUUUAUAAAGGGAAAAGGACCUGUUUGUAUAAGAAUAUUUAUAACAGCUCUUUUUGUGGUGGCAAAGAAUUGGAAAUUGAGGGGAUGUCCAUCAAUUGGUGGAUGGCUGAAUAAACUGUAGUAUGUUUUUAUGGAGUACUACUGUGCUUUGGAAAAUGAUGAGCAGGAGGAUUUCGGAAAAACAUGGAAAGACCUACAUGAAUUUAUAUAAAAUGAAGUGAGGAGAACCAGGAGAAAUUGUAUACAGUAACAGCAAUGAUCAGCAUUUACGAAUGCUUAGCUAUUCUUAGCAGUAUAGUGGUCUAAGACAAACCUCAAGGACUCAUGAUGAAAAAUGCCAUCUGUCUCCAGAGGAAGCACUGAUACAAUCUGAAUGCAGAUGGAUACAUACUAUGUUUCAUUUUACUCAUUAAUUUUUCUUUUGUUUCUUUAAUUUUUUUUCAUAUAAUGACUAACUUGGGAAAAUAUUUAACACUGUUAAACAUGUUAAAACAAUAUUAGAUUGUUUUCUGUCUUAUGGAGUGGGGAGGACACAAGGGAAGGAGGAUAAGGAUUUGGCUGAAUUUUUUUUUUAAACCCAAAGAUUGGGGGCAGCUAGGUGACUCAGUGGAUUGAGAGCCAGGCCUAAGAGAUGGGAAGUCCUAGGGUUAAAUCUGGCUUCAGAUACUUCCUAGCUGUGUGACCCUGGGCAACCCCCAUUGCCCAGCCCUUACCACUCUUCUGCCUUAGAAUCUGCCUUAGAACUUAUAGAACCAGUAUUGAUUCUAGGAUGUGUUACAGUAGGAAAUAAGACUUAGGGCAUGAGUGAUUGACAGGGCAUGGGAUUAGAAUUUUCCCUGGAGCUGGUGGAAUAGAAUCCCAGAGAAACAGUUAAGCAACUGACACAAUCUCUCUGGACCUGGAUGAAGGAGGGGGCAUAUUUUCCCAGAGCAGCUUGAGAAACCAUCAUUCAAAUUACACGCCUGGGAAUAUCUCUGGCUGAGCUAGGUAGACUGCAUAACUUAAUUUUUAUGCAUUUUAAUUUAUCUAGAUAAGGUUUCAUUAGAGAUAAGGCAGUAAGUUGGACCAUUCUAAAGUCCCUCUAAGAGUGGUACAGUCCAGAGGGGGAGGCCAGCGGAAUUCUACGACUCUGGGAAAGCUGUGGGAAAUUGAAAAACAAUAAAGGGCCAUUACCUUGUUCUUGGUGGCCAUAUUAGAAAAUUGUUUUUUUUCAGAAUUUCAACUUUAUGAUUGUUUAUUGUAAAAUAUGAUCAUAGUGGAGUUUAAUACCACUAUUUCACCAGUGUAUACUGUAUUACAAAUGAAUAUGAAUCUGACGGGACAUAAUAAUAAAUGUUAUUAAGAUCUUGUGGGAUUGCAUUCUGCAUAUCCCUUACAUUCUAUUUGUAAUGUUUCCAAAUGUAUGUGCAAUGCUUUUAGACUACAACUGUAUGAAACCUAUAAUGGAAAUAAAACUGAAAACUGUAUUAUCACAUA